AGGGCGCCCCUCGGCUUCCAGGCCGCGGCCCAGGGACCCCGCAGGGCAGGAGGCAGGAGGCAGGAGGCAGGAGGCAGGUGCUGCGCAGGCGGGCGGCGGCAGGGGGGCUCCCGAGGGCCGCGGCGGCGCUCGCCCACAGGCCGCCCUCGCCCCGGCAGGGCCCGGGGGGGGGGGGGGGGGGCGGGGGGGGCGGAGCGCGCGGCGGAGCGGGCCAGGCCGUUGCUAGGCGCGGGGAAGGCGGGGCCGCGCGAAGCCCCGCCCCCGCCCCGCCCCGCCCCCCGCCGGCCGCGGCCGCGGGCUACAGCCAGGGCCCGGGGGGCCCGGCGUCCGGGGCGCGCAGGCCUGGCUCGGGGGCGCGCACGGGCGGCUCGUCCUUGUCGCCACGCGGGCGCGGCGCGCGCGGUCCCCGCUGCUCGAGGUGCAGCUGCAGCAGCGCCCGGCGGUACAUGGCCUCCAGCUUCUCGAGCCGGGCCCUCAGGGCCCUGGGGCUGCCCGGCUCGUCCUCGAGGCCGCCGCCCCCCGCCCCGCGGUUCGUGCCGGCGUCGUCGGGGCCCGGGCUGGCCCUCGCCGCGGCCGCGGCCGCCCCGUCGCCACCGUCGCCGGGAAGCCGCAGGGCCUGACGGAAGAGGCUGCGGUUCUCGCGCUUCAGCCGCCGGUUUUCCAGCCGCAGCCGGGCGUUCUCCUCGCGCAGCCGCGCGUUCUGCCGGUCCCGCUCGUCCCGCGCGCGGAUGGCCUCCAGGUGGCUCGCGGCCAGGUCGGCGAACCGCUCCUCCAGCUGCUGCCGGGCGCCGCCCGCACGGCCUCGCCAGCCCACGCCGCCGCCGCCGCCGCCGCCGCCUACGCCGCCGCCGCCGCCCCCGCGAGCCCGGCCCGGGCGGCCCUGCCCGCGGCCGUCCCCGCCGCCGUCCCCGCCGCCGCAGCCCCCGCGCCUGCUGGCGCCACCACGCAUGCGCCACAUCGGUGCUGUCCCCGCCGCGCCGCCGGCGCCGUGGGCCGAGGCGCGGGCGGCCGGGGCCGCGGCGGAGGAGGCGGAGGAGGCGGAGGAGGAGGAGGAGGGAGAGGUGGCGGGAGGCGGCUGCUGGCCCGGGGCCAGAGGGGGCCGGGAAUGUGCCCGGGCCGAGGCGUGUCUGUCUCCCGCGGUGGAGCUGCCCCCCGCCCCCGGGCCUGGCUCCGCGGCCCGCGCACACAAUGCCCCGGGGAGCGCGUUGCUGCUCAGCCCUCGGGCGGGGGCGGGGGCGGGGGCGGGGGCGUGAGUCCCCGCGGGGUGCUGCGGCCGCUUCCGUGCAGGCCCGGGCGCUGCAGCCCAGCGCAGCCACCGCCCGCACGACGCUCGCAAAGCACAUAAGGAUGGUAACAGGAUGCGUUCUGAGACACAGAGGGGCAGGUUGGGAGCCGGCGGUCUUGAGCCCCUCUAGGCGCAGUGAAGCGUCAGAGCUGCGUGUGGGGCCUCGAGUGGGAACAGGCACGUCUCCGAACAGCGUGGGCGACUCCCCACCCGCGAACAGCCGGGGUCCCGCCCUGCAAAUUGCAACCCCGUAG
rnacentral:lncRNA from 1 species